rnacentral:rRNA from 1 species
ACGUUGGCGGCGUGGAUUAGGCAUGCAAGUCGAAGCGCUCAUCAGCAAUGGUGGGAGCGGCGAACGGCGUAGUAAUGUGUAGGAACGUACCCUCUGGUCGGGGAUAGCUACGGGAAACUGUAGGUAAUACCCGAUGAUCUCUGUGGAGCAAAGGUGUGAUUCCGCCGGGGGAGCGGCUUACAUGAUAUUAGCUAGUUGGUGGGGUAAUGGCCUACCAAGGCUUAGAUGUCUAGGGGGUGUGAGAGCAUGGCCCCCACGACCGGAACUGAGAUACUGUCCGGACACCUACGGGUGGCUGCAGUCGAGAAUCUUCCGCAAUGGACGAAAGUCUGACGGAGCGACGCCGCGUGCGGGAUGAAGGCCCUUGGGUUGUAAACCGCUGUCAGAGGGGAUGAAAUCUCCGAGGGUUAUCCCUCGGAGUUGACAGAGCCUCAGAGGAAGCACGGGCUAAGUAUGUGCCAGCAGCCGCGGUAAUACAUACUGUGCGAACGUUAUUCGGAAUCACUGGGCUUAAAGGGUGCGUAGGCGGCGAUUCAAGUCAGAUGUGAAAUGCCUGAGCUCAACUGAGGCAUUGCGUUUGAAACUGGAUUGCUAGAGUGUCCCAGGGGUGUGCGGAACUGCCAGUGGAGCGGUGAAAUGUGUUGAUAUUGGCAGGAACACCGGAGGCGAAGCGGCACCUGGGGGAAACUGACGCUGAGGCACGAAAGCCAGGGGAGCGAACGGGAUUAGAUACCCCGGUAGUCUGGCUGUAACGAUGAGCACUGGGCGGGAGAAGUUCGC